GGGUUGUGAGGUUAAGCGACUAAGCGUACACGGUGGAUGCCCUGGCAGUCAGAGGCGAUGAAGGACGUGCUAAUCUGCGAUAAGCGCCGGUAAGGUGAUAUGAACCGUUAUAACCGGCGAUUUCCGAAUGGGGAAACCCAGUGUGACUCGUCACACUAUCAUUAACUGAAUCCAUAAGUUAAUGAGGCGAACCGGGGGAACUGAAACAUCUAAGUACCCCGAGGAAAAGAAAUCAACCGAGAUUCCCCCAGUAGCGGCGAGCGAACGGGGAGGAGCCCAGAGCCUGAAUCAGCAUGUGUGUUAGUGGAAGCGUCUGGAAAGGCGCGCGAUACAGGGUGACAGCCCCGUACACAAAAGCGCAUGUGCUGUGAGCUCGAAGAGUAGGGCGGGACACGUGGUAUCCUGUCUGAAUAUGGGGGGACCAUCCUCCAAGGCUAAAUACUCCUGACUGACCGAUAGUGAACCAGUACCGUGAGGGAAAGGCGAAAAGAACCCCGGCGAGGGGAGUGAAAAAGAACCUGAAACCGUGUACGUACAAGCAGUGGGAGCACAGGUUUACCUGUGUGACUGCGUACCUUUUGUAUAAUGGGUCAGCGACUUAUAUUCUGUAGCAAGGUUAACCGUAUAGGGGAGCCGGAGGGAAACCGAGUCUUAAU
rnacentral:rRNA from 1 species